rnacentral:rRNA from 1 species
AACGAACGCUGGCGGCAUGCCUAACACAUGCAAGUCGAACGAGACCUUCGGGUCUAGUGGCGCACGGGUGCGUAACGCGUGGGAACCUGCCCUUAGGUUCGGAAUAACUCCCCGAAAGGGGUGCUAAUACCGGAUAAUGUCUUCGGACCAAAGAUUUAUCGCCUUUGGAUGGGCCCGCGUUGGAUUAGCUAGUUGGUAGGGUAAAAGCCUACCAAGGCGACGAUCCAUAGCUGGUCUGAGAGGAUGAUCAGCCACACUGGGACUGAGACACGGCCCAGACUCCUACGGGAGGCAGCAGUGGGGAAUAUUGGACAAUGGGCGAAAGCCUGAUCCAGCAAUGCGGCGUGAGUGAGGAAGGCCUUAGGGUUGUAAAGCUCUUUGACCCGGGAUGAUAAUGACAGUACCGGGAGAAUAAGCACCGGCUAACUCCGUG